CGAACGCUGGCGGCGUGCUUACCACAUGCACGUCGAACGGAAAGGCCCUGCUUUUGUGGGGUGCUCGAGUGGCGAACGGGUGAGUAACACGUGAGUAACCUGCCCUUGACUUUGGGAUAACUUCAGGAAACUGGGGCUAAUACCGGAUAGGAGCUCCUGCUGCAUGGUGGGGGUUGGAAAGUUUCGGCGGUUGGGGAUGGACUCGCGGCUUAUCAGCUUGUUGGUGGGGUAGUGGCUUACCAAGGCUUUGACGGGUAGCCGGCCUGAGAGGGUGACCGGCCACAUUGGGACUGAGAUACGGCCCAGACUCCUACGGGAGGCAGCAGUGGGGAAUAUUGCACAAUGGGCGGAAGCCUGAUGCAGCAACGCCGCGUGCGGGAUGACGGCCUUCGGGUUGUAAACCGCUUUCGCCUGUGACGAAGCGUGAGUGACGGUAAUGGGUAAAGAAGCACCGGCUAACUACGUG
rnacentral:rRNA from 1 species